AGCUGAUCCAUAUGAAUUCCUCUUAUUAAGAAAAAUAAAGCAUCCAGGAUUCAAUGAAGAACUGACUAUCACCUUGUUAAUCAUUCAGAAACAUGUUGCAGGCUUAAGCCAUUUUUGAUAUAGAUACUGAAACAAUUACUUGCUAAGAGCAAACUUGAAGUAACAAUUUGGACAAGACAGCAAAUGCUAUUGUCCAAGUUUUCUAAAGAAGAAUCUGAAGUGAAAUGACAUCAAGAGACCUAUCAAGACCUGUAUCCAGGAAAAGACCAAACCAAUGCAGACCAAACCAAUGCAGAACUCCUAUGUGCUGAUGGUGGUCUUACAUUUCCCUAAGUUUCUGCCGACUAAACUGUGCACACGUUCUCAGGACCUCCUGAAGCUGCGUCACAGGCACUAAUCAAAGAACACAACCAAGAGUUUGGCCUUUUCUUCAGCACUGGGAAUUGUGAUCCAAAGCUUUUCCUGAUGAGGCACAAAGUUGGAGAAACACAACGCAAACUAAACAACAAUGAAACAGAACAGAGUGAAUCUGCUGUAGCUCAAGAGAGGACGUAGCUGCCCCCACUCCGCAUCCCCGGGCUCGGGUUUGCCUUGCUGACCUCUGCUGCCACCUGGUGCUGCACAGAGAAACUGAGGAGAAACCACAUCAGUCUCCUUCAGCCUCAGCUUCACAUCUGUGGGUCAAGCAACCCUUUCAGAAGCUGUAUAAUGUGGGAAAGCUUUCCUCUCAGGAAAAUGCACACAUCCAACUUUGAGAAGAUGCCCUUGGGGGUGCUUCAAGGAUCCUAGAUAAUAACCCCCUUUCCCGAACAUCCAAGAACCUAAGUUUUUUUUUUUUUUUUGAGAAAGUCUCGCUCUCUCUCCCAUUCUGGAGUGCAGUGGCGUGAUCUUGGCUCACUGCAAGCUCCACCUCCCAGGUUCAAGCCAUUCUCCUGCCUCAGCCUCCCAAGUAGCUGGGGCUACAGGCACCUGCCACCACACCCGGCUAAUUUUUUUGUAUUUUUAGUAGAGACGGGGUUUCACCGUGUUAGCCAGAAUCGUCUUGAUCUCCUGACCUUGUGAUCCACCCGCCUCGGCCUCCCAAAGUGCUGGGAUUACAGGUGUGAGCCACCACGCCUGGUCCAAGAACCCAACUUUUAGAUCUAGAGUGAUGUCAGCAUGACAUUGAUUUCCUGAGGCCCAGGGGUGAAGGAGCUGAGGACAGCAGAGGGGUGAAGGAAGUCAGCUACAGACAGCAGCAGCUGAUGCACAGGCCUCCCAGUGCCUGAAGUCACCCGGAAUUGGGAAGUGCUCAGAAGCUUACAAAGCUGCCUCGAGGUGGGAACACAACAUUAAUCCAAGAGCAGAUCCCUGAUCCUAUAAAAAUGUACUAGAUGCAGUGGGGGCAUUUUAAAUGAGCAGGGAAGGACAGACAGAUAAACAGAAGGACAAACAGUAUUGGGAUUGGGAUAAAUGCUCAGCUUUUGCCCAAAUCUUAGUGACUUAAGCAUCACUUAUUUGCUCACGAUUCUGUGGCUGGACCAUUUGGUUUGGCUCACAGGGCAGGGACUGUGCUGGUCUUACCUGAGCAGACCUGCAUGUCUGCGGUCAACUGGGUUGGCAGAGACAGAGUGACUGUCUUCCUCCAGGAAGCAGCAGGUUAACUGGUUGGCAGAGACAGAGGGACUGAGGGACUGUCUCCCUCCAGGAAGCAGCAGGUUAACUGGUUGGCAGAGACAGAGGGACAGAGGGACUGUCUUCCUCCAGGAAGCAGCAGGUUGGCUCUGGUUCCUUCGUGGGGCAGCUGGUCUCCAGGGCAGCAAGAGAGACCAAGCCCCCGUGCACAUUCUACAGCCUCUGUGCACAUCAGACUUGUUAAUAUCCCAUUGGCCAGUGCAAGUCACACGGCCAAGCCCAGAUUAAGGAGUGGAAAGAUGGACGCUAUCUCCUCCUGGGAGAGGAGGCAAAGGAGGUGAGAGCAUUAUGUGGCCACUUAUGUUUGCAAUCUACCAUACUUAGCCCUUUGAGAAAAGAAUUAACUGAGAAACUUGCUUCAAAUAGGGCAUUCAGUAAAAUGAAGCCCCAAUUGAAGUAAAAUGCAUAUAUAAAAAAUGAAACUGUGACCGAUUUUAAGGACAGUAUUGGCAAAUAUUUCUGUGCUCUUGGAGGAGAAGACCCUUAUUGGCAUGACAUGUCAGAGACCACAAUGAAAGAAUUAUUUUAACUUGCAUUCAUAAAAAUUAAAAUUAUUCAUUAAAAACAUCGUGAAUGAAAUUAAAAGUCAAAAUGUAAGCCAGAAAAUUAUUUACAACAUAUGUGUCAGGAAAAGACAAUACACUUCAGACUUUGAGAGUUUACAUCAGAAAGAAAAUAGCAAAUGACAUGAUCCAAACUUGAUAAAGGACAUGAAAAAGAGCCAGCACUUAGUAUGUUUUCUGAAUGAAUAAGUAGCCAACAGCACACGAAAAUGUGUGUAAUCCACUUGUAAGCAGAGAAAUGCAAAUUAAAACAGUAAAGUGUCAUUUUCACUUCCUGGAUUGGCAAAGGGUUUUAUGUAUUUUACUGACAGUGCUCAACAUUAGCAGUAAACAACAAAUGGUGAGUAAAUAUGAGCUUCGGAACCUCAGGGAAAUGAUCUCCUUAUUUCAACCUGCAGAUUCCUUCCUACAACCAGUGUAGAGCAGAGUACCAGGACGGGCCAUUGAGCACCCUGGUGUUGAGAUCAAGUGGCCUCUAGUCAGAGUUGGGUCAGGGCCACUGUGAGUGGGCUGCCCCCAACAUGAGUCAGCUGUCUAGGACUAGUUUAUCUCUGCUUCUCACUUUACUGGUAUUAUGGGGCAGCUCCUGCUGUCUUCCAAUUUGGUGUCUUCCAAAUCGGCACCGUCUUUUAAAGUUGAGUUUCUUGUUAUUCUCACCUGAUAUACCUUAUUUAUCCCACACCCACCCCAAUAACAUAUCGUGCUCAGUGUUAUCUUUGAGACAACACUUGAAUUUUACUCAGCCUGGAGCGCUCUUCACAUGUCUUGUCCAGAUCCAGUUCGGACUCAUUCUUCAGCCGUGCAUCAGUAAAUGGGGGCUAGGUUAAACUGUGGUGACAAACAACCUCCAAAUUUCAGUGGCUCAAAAAUCUUCUUCCUCAUUUAUUUACAUUUCAUCAUGGGUCAGGUGAGAGGUAGCUCUGUGCUGUGUCAUCCUAACACAGGAAUCCAGACGGAAGGAGGGACAAUCAAUAAGAUCCCCAUUGCUAUAGAAAAGAGAAAAAAGUAUGCGGAAUAGCACUCUGUUUCUUGGAGAUUUCUCCUGAAAAAGUCACAUGUUAUUUCUUCUCACCUCCAUUGGCAAAAAAAAAGUCAUGUGGCCAUGUGAAAAUGUAAGUAGGCGGGAUGGAACAGUCAGAAUGCAUUCAUAAAAUAUGAACUGAAAAUAUCUGGAGAACAGCACCUAUGACUACCACGAAUGCCAACAUGCAUCCCUAACAACCCAGUGCUGUCACCCUCCAAACUUUUUAUGUCUUGCAAAGUAUUAGAACUUCUUAUCUGAAGCCAUACCACUCAGAGGGAAUGCAAAAUACAUAUUGACAUCUCCUUUAGGAUGUCCUUAGAGAAUUCAAGGAAAAGAAGUUAAAUAAUUUUAAAGUGCUUUUGGGUACAGCUAUUUAGCACUAGAGGGUAAGAUUAGACAUAGAUUGUAAAGAUAAUAAUAGGGUUAGGGAUAGGAUUAGGAUCUGGGUCAGAGUCAGGGCCAGAAGUAUGGUUAGAGGUGGGGUCAUGGUCAGGGUCGAGAUCAAAGUCAGGGUCAAAGUAAGGGUCAGAAUUAGGGACCAGGAUAGGGAUCAGGAUUUAGGUUCAGUGUCAAAGUCUUGGGACAAGGUUAGGGUUAGAAUUAGAACCAGAGCUUUGUUCUCCUCAGGACCCACCCGAGGGUGGGUCACCAUGGCUUUGGAGCGCCUGGUAGUGUGGUGUGUCCACAGUGAAGACCAGAGUUUCAUUGUCCUUAAGACUGACCUGGGGAGAUGUGGCUGUAGGCCAUUGAGGAAGGUGAGGCAACAGCUUCCUGUCUGCUCCCCGUGUGCUGAGGAGGGAGUUCUGCCAUGGGCUUUACUUUCACAUGUUAUAUUCCACAAGUCUUGUUUUACAAAAGCAUCCCUUCCUUGAGGCUUCGGCUGCUCAUCGCUGCUCAUCAUCAUAGCGUGCCAUAACAUAUAGUAAGAUUUGGGUUUGUUUCUGGGGAGAUAUCUUGGUAUAGAGAAAGGAGAAAUGCUUAGAGCCACCAUCAGGACAGUUGGGAUGAAAGUUGGGUAUAGGCAGAGGCUGGAGGAAACAUGUGCAUCCCCUGUAAACACUUUUAUUCAUGUUUUAAUUACUCAUUUUUCUUACAGUGUUAAAUUAGUAAAGAUAGUAUUGAAAAAUUGAAAAGUAGGCAUAUUAAAACUUGCAACACUAUUUAAGCCUAGAUAUAUUAUUUGUACCUCAUCAACAUUUUUUAUUGUGUUGAGAAAGUUUAAGGUUAAUUGACAGCAUAUUUCUAAUAGUAGAUAGAAUAACAUCCCUUUUAUAAACAUUGACAUCCUACAUUACAUGUGUGAACCCUGAAAAUCUGAGACAGCUCUCAGAUUUUUUAGAAAGUUUAUUUUGCCAAUCUUGAGGAUGUGCGCCUGUGAUGCCUCCUCAGGAGAUCCUGACAACAUGGGCCCAAGGUGGUCGGGGCACAGCUUGGUUUUAUACACUUUAGGGAGACACGAGAGAUCAAUCAAUACGUGUAAGAUGUACAUUGGUUCAGUCCAGAAAGGUGAGAAGGCCAGACAGGGGGCUUCCAGGUCACAGGUAGGUAAGAGACAAAUGGUUUCAUUCUUUUGCAUUGCUGAUUACCCUCUCCAUGUGAGGCAAUCAGGUAUGCAUUUAUCUAGGUGAUCAGACGGGUGUUUUGGAUAGAAUGGGAGGCGGGUUUGCCCUAAGCAGUUCCCAGCUUGACUUUUCCCUUUAGCUUAGUGAUUUUGAGUCCCCAAGAUUUAUUUUCCCUUCGUAAGUGUUCCUAUGAGUAUUAAUUAUUCAUUGUGUCUUUUAUUACACAAAUAAGGCACAGAUUUUUAAGAAAUCAUCAACUUCAUGGCUACCUAUAUAGACAUAAUUACACAGAAGCUCAACUAAAUUUGCAAACAUUCCAGAGUUUGGGUUUCCAAUAAUUCUUUGUGAUUCUUUAAAAGGUAAAGUAUUUUUUCCCAUAAAACAUAGCAACAUUUAAAAUCACCCGUAGAAUGUCCCGCCAUUUUUGUUUUUCUAGUUUCCUCAUUUUCUGCAAAUCCUCGCUGAGGAAAUUGACUUUGAAUAUCCUUUUAGACUCUUUUGUUUUAGAAAGCAUUGUGGUAAAACAUUGAAUCAUCAUGGUCAUAAGUUCUGUUCACAUUCUUUCUUUCUUUGAAUAUUUUUUCCCAGUGGCCAAUAUUUGAUUCUGUUGUAUUAUGGCUAAAAGGUAGGCAUGGGAACAAAAUAAAGACAAGAAGUCUUUGGAAUAAUUGAUCCCAUCACAAUGAAUCAAUUUGCCAUUGGAACAUGUUUUUACAAAGUCACUCUUUUGAAAAUAUUCAGCUAUGACUUGAAACAGAGUCUGUAUGGUUAAUAUUUUUCCUGGUCUAAGGUGAACAGCAUUUUAGAGAAUGAACCCAGGACACAACCACAGCACAAGAAAAAAAUAUGAUAAUUAAGUUUACACAUAUUGUUACUACUGUAACAGAAAACAUGUAAAGGACAUUUGUUUUGAUUUAUAUAUCAGUCUGCACUGUUUAAUUUUUUGUGUCAUAAUUGCUCUUAUUUUAAAAAACAGGACUAGUUAACAGUGUCAAUUACUAGUAAUUCAUGGUAUAAAUAAUUAAACAAGGAAGUGUUAAAAAAACUGUGUUUUAAAUAAAGUUUUAUUUUACGUCUU
rnacentral:lncRNA from 1 species